rnacentral:rRNA from 1 species
GAACCUUCGGGUUAGUGGCGGACGGGUGAGUAACGCGUGGGAAUCUGCCCUCAGGAGGGGGAUAACGGCUGGAAACGGCCGCUAAUACCCCAUAUGCCGAGAGGUGAAAUGAAUUUCGCCUGAGGAUGAGCCCGCGUCUGAUUAGCUAGUUGGUGAGGUAAGAGCUCACCAAGGCAUCGAUCAGUAGCUGGUCUGAGAGGAUGAUCAGCCACACUGGGACUGAGACACGGCCCAGACUCCUACGGGAGGCAGCAGUGGGGAAUUUUCCGCAAUGGGCGAAAGCCUGACGGAGCAACGCCGCGUGAGGGAUGAAGGCCUCUGGGCUGUAAACCUCUUUUCUCAAGGAAGAAGAUCUGACGGUACUUGAGGAAUAAGCCACGGCUAAUUCCGUGCCAGCGGCCGCGGUAAUACGGGAGUGGCAAGCGUUAUCCGGAAUUAUUGGGCGUAAAGCGUCCGCAGGCGGCCCUUCAAGUCUGCUGCUAAAACGUGGAGCUUAACUCCAUCAUGGCAGUGGAAACUGUUGGGCUUGAGUGUGGUAGGGGCAGAGGGAAUUCCCGGUGUAGCGGUGAAAUGCGUAGAUAUCGGGAAGAACACCAGUGGCGAAGGCGCUCUGCUGGGCCAUAACUGACGCUCAUGGACGAAAGCCAGGGGAGCGAAAGGGAUUAGAUACCCCAGUAGUCCUGGCCGUAAACGAUGAACACUAGGUGUCGGGGGAAUCGACCCCCUCGGUGUCGUAGCCAACGCGUUAAGUGUUCCGCCUGGGGAGUACGCACGCAAGUGUGAAACUCAAAGGAAUUGACGGGGGCCCGCACAAGCGGUGGAGUAUGUGGUUUAAUUCGAUGCAACGCGAAGAACCUUACCAGGGUUUGACAUCCUGCGAACCUCUUGGAAAC